rnacentral:rRNA from 1 species
CCUGAGAAACGGCUACCACAUCCAAGGAAGGCAGCAGGCACGCAAAUUACCCACUCCCGGCACGGGGAGGUAGUGACAAAAAAUAACGAUACGGGACUCUUAUGAGGCCCCGUAAUCGGAAUGAGUACACUUUAAAUCCUUUAACAAGGAUCCAUUGAAGGGCAAGUCUGGUGCCAGCAGCCGCGGUAAUUCCAGCUUCAAUAGCGUAUAUUAAAGUUGUUGCGGUUAAAAAGCUCGUAGUUGGUUCUGCGUGCCACGCUGUCGGUUCGCCGCCUGCCGGUGUAACUGGCAUGCCGUGGCAUGUCCUGUCGGUGGCGUUCGGGAGCCUCGUCUAGGUGACGGCCCUUGCCACAAGCUUGGUGUCCGGAGGCCGGGGGUAUACUCGUUCGCCUACUCUAUCCUACCUAGGUGCUCUUCACCGAGUGUCGAGGUAGGCCGACACGUUUACUUUGAACAAAUUAGAGUGCUCAAAGCAGGCUGAAAUCUCUGCCUGAAUAGUGGUGCAUGGAAUAAUAAAACAGGACCUUGGUUCUAUUUUGUUGGUUUUAGGAAUCCAAGGUAAUGAUCAAUAAGGACAGACGGGGGCAUUCGUAUUGCGACGUUAGAGGUGAAAUUCUUGGACCGUCGCAAGACGACCGAGAGCGAAAGCAUUUGCCAAGUAUGUCUUGAUUGAUCAAGAACGAAAGUUAGAGGUUCGAAGGCGAUCAGAUACCGCCCUAGUUCUAACCAUAAACGAUGCCAGCCAGCGAUCCGCCGAUGUUCCUCCGAUGACUCGGCGGGGAGCUUCCGGGAAACCAAAGCUUUUGGGUUCCGGGGGAAGUAUGGUUGCAAAGCUGAAACUUAAAGGAAUUGACGGAAGGGCACCACCAGGAGUGGAGCCUGCGGCUUAAUUUGACUCAACACGGGAAACCUCACCAGGCCAGGACAUUGGAAGGAUUGACAGAUUGAUAGCUCUUUCUUGAUUCAGUGGGUAGUGGUGCAUGGCCGUUCUUAGUUGGUGGAUCGAUUUGUCUGGUUAAUUCCGAUAACGAACGAGACUC